rnacentral:lncRNA from 10 species
CUAUUCUCUAGGCCUUCCCUGCUUCAUGGGUGCAUGUUGCAUGGGCACUCCUGCGCAGCACCUGCCAAGGUCGCUGGGACUCGGGGAUAAAAAGAUGGAAGAGAAAAGGAGGAUGCUCACUUUCUGUCUCCAUCGCACCCCGAGUUUUUCACUGAAAGAAGGAAGAGAAGUCAGGGAUACCUUUAUUCCCUGUCUUUCAGAAUGGGCAACCAGCUCUCUUCUCCAUCCUCAGUUUAUACUCCUCUGGAAUGUAUCCUGAACUGUUGGGACUGCUUUGAUCCUCAGAAUCUGGAGGAAAAACACCUCAUAGCCCUCUGCACAAAGGUGCCUAGUGAAUUUGGGUCCAGUGAAGUCCAGGUCCCCUUCUCUCUACAGGACUUAAAGCAAUGUAACGGGGAUCUUGAAAUAGAAUGGGCCACCUCUUGGGGAUACAUCCUGCAGUCCUCAGGAUGGCUACAAUCGGAGGACAAUAAGCUUCAUCUACCAGCUGCCAACCAAUGGAAAGUACUUAAAAGCCUUCACUAGGCCUUCCACCUAGGCCCAGGUUGGGAGGGACCCUACACUGUACUCCUUUCUACUCCUGUGGCAGUGAAGGUCACUGGAAUAGACUCUUGGAUUCAUUAUACCCAAGUAAAGACUUGGGAAGCCAACAGAGUCACCUCCGUUGACCCAGAAGAACACCCAAAGUACCAAUGUGAAGAGAUUGGGGACCUCAAGCUAAAAAUCACAAAAGCUAGAAACCAUCAAACUCCAAAUGGUCAGGCAACCAGAGCCUCAGACAAUGGCUCCGCUUUGCUGGGGACCCUUAGAUAGACCUCUGAGAGGAAUCUGACUGCUAUUUUCCCCAAAACAAUGCUCCCUGUCAGCAGGAAGUAGCUAAGGUCAGUUGUCAUACAUAUUCUAACAGCAGUUAGAUGUACCUCUUCAGAGGGGGGAAAUGAGAUGGACAGGAGACGGGGAAAUACUGGGUAGAAGAAGGUGGCUCCCCGGCAAAGACCCCACCCUCAAGCCUGAAGACCUGCGGCCCUAAAUGAAGACAGGCUUUUCUGGUUUUGCACCCAAAAAGUUGCCUUUUGGACUGCCAUGUCCCCCCCGCCUAUCCUGCCCCUGUAUAAACCCAAGACCUUAGUGGGCACACACACAAGUGGCUGAAUGUUGGGACCAGCAGACCAGCGACAGUGGAACAACGCAGCAGAGAAAGAGAGAAGAGGAGUAACAUCUGGAUGCUGAGGGGAAUUCAGCUAGGGGCGGUCAGAGAAGAAUCUGGCCAUUGGGUGGCCUGACUCCAGGGGAAGACCACCUUACCACUCCAUCCACCCCCUUCUGACUCCCCAUCCAUCUCACUGAGAGCCACCUUCACCAUUCAAUAAAAUCUUGCACUCAUCUUUCGA